AGCGAACGCUGGCGGCAGGCUUAACACAUGCAAGUCGAGCGGUCAUAGCAAUAUGUCAGCGGCAGACGGGUGAGUAACGCGUGGGAACGUACCUUUUGGUUCGGAACAACUGAGGGAAACUUCAGCUAAUACCGGAUAAGCCCUUUCGGGGAAAGAUUUAUCGCCGAAAGAUCGGCCCGCGUCUGAUUAGCUAGUUGGUGAGGUAAUGGCUAACCAAGGCGGCGAUCAGUAGCUGGUCUGAGAGGAUGAUCAGCCACAUUGGGAGUGAGACACGGACCAAACUCCUACGGGGGGCAGCAGUGGGGAAUAGUGGACAAUGGGCGAAAGCCUGAUCCAGCCAUGCCGCGUGAGUGAUGAAGGACCUAGGGUUGUAAAGCUCGUUUGUGCGGGGACGAUAAUGACGGGACCUGAGGAGGAAGCCACGGCUAACUACGUGCCAGCAGCCGCAGAAA
rnacentral:rRNA from 1 species